rnacentral:misc_RNA from 1 species
AGCAGCCGCGGUAAUUCCAGCUCCAAUAGCGUAUAUUAAAGUUGUUGCAGUUAAAAAGCUCGUAGUUGAAUUUCGGGAUCAAUAUGUUGGUCGUGCCUUGGUACGUACUGGCAUUAUUGGUUCCUACCUUCUGAAGAACCUCGAUGUCAUUAAUUUGGUGUCUUGGGGAAUCAGGACUGUUACUUUGAAAAAAUUAGAGUGUUUAAAGCAGGCUCGCGCUUGAAUACAUUAGCAUGGAAUAAUGAAAUAGGACGUUUGAUUCUAUUUUGUUGGUUUCUAGGAUUGACGUAAUGAUUAAUAGGGAUAGUUGGGGGCAUUAGUAUUCAAUUGUCAGAGGUGAAAUUCUUGGAUUUAUUGAAGACUAACUACUGCGAAAGCAUUUGCCAAGGAUGUUUUCAUUAAUCAAGAACGAAAGUUAGGGGAUCGAAGACGAUCAGAUACCGUCGUAGUCUUAACCAUAAACUAUGCCGACUAGGGAUCGGAUGAUGUUAAUUUUUUAAUGACUCAUUCGGCGCCUUAC